rnacentral:rRNA from 1 species
CCUACGGGAGGCUGUAGUCGAGAAUCAUUCACAAUGGGGGAAACCCUGAUGGUGCGAAGCCGCGUGGGGGAAUGAAGGUCUUCGGAUUGUAAACCCCUGUCAUGUGGGAGCAAAUUAAAAAGAUAGUACCACAAGAGGAAGAGACGGCUAACUCUGUGCCAGCAGCCGCGGUAAUACAGAGGUCUCAAGCGUUGUUCGGAAUCACUGGGCGUAAAGCGUGCGUAGGCUGUUUCGUAAGUCGUGUGUGAAAGGCGCGGGCUCAACCCGCGGACAGCACAUGAUACUGCGAGACUAGAGUAAUGGAGGGGGAACCGGAAUUCUCGGUGUAGCAGUGAAAUGCGUAGAUAUCGAGAGGAACACUCGUGGCGAAGGCGGGUUACUGGACAGUAACUGACGCUGAGGCACGAAGGCCAGGGGAGCGAAAGGGAUUAGAUACCCCUGUAGUC